AGGGGCUUAGGAUAGUACAAGACCAAAGACCUUCAAAGUCUUAAGCGGGAGUGAAACUCUCCCAGCCCCUG
rnacentral:tRNA from 1 species